ensembl:lncRNA
GUCCGUUACUAUUUUUCAACAAACAGACGGUUGAAGCUGUGUUCAGCUUACCGGAUCUUAUAUCAGCUGCACGGAAGUAGCUGUAAGUAAUCUGGACGCUACAGCUUUAACCAGCUGCGUGCUCCCGCGGACGGUAAUCACGAUCACUGUCUAGCGCAACACCUGGAGCUAACGGGGCAAAACAAUCGAGUGCUGCUGUUUGACUGAGGAAGAAUAAAGUAGUCGUGUUCCAAAAGGAAAACAUUAGGAAGCCACCUGUGAAAUCAGAGGACUCUGUGAGGGCAGAGGGGCCGUCCCUUCUUCUGAUGGUGUAUAAAGUCUGUGGGCACUGACUCACCUCUGCUCUUUCUGCCUCCUCAGAUAUCACAGAGCCUGAAGCCGACAAAACAGAUACCAGCACUGAUUUCAAGCUUCUUGGGUGGACACCUCUGUAAUAUUCAUCACCAUGGCAACACAGAAGAAUAACAUCUCAUCCAAAUACAAAGACAUCACCUCCAGAGUUGUGAUUUCAUCAAGAUCUCUUGCUGUCUACCUACUGAGAACAAAAAAAGAGAAGACUGGAUCUUUGACAAGAAUGACUGUUGGAGAAAAAAAUCCAAACAAG